rnacentral:rRNA from 1 species
GAUGAACGCUGACAGAAUGCUUAACACAUGCAAGUCAACUUGAACUUCGGUUUGGGUGGCGGACGGGUGAGUAACGCGUAAAGAACUUGCCUCACAGCUAGGGACAACAUUUGGAAACGAAUGCUAAUACCUGAUAUUAUGAUUUUAGGGCAUCCUAGAAUUAUGAAAGCUAUGUGCGCUGUGAGAGAGCUUUGCGUCCCAUUAGCUAGUUGGAGAGGUAACGGCUCACCAAGGCGAUGAUGGGUAGCCGGCCUGAGAGGGUGAACGGCCACAAGGGGACUGAGACACGGCCCUUACUCCUACGGGAGGCAGCAGUGGGGAAUAUUGGACAAUGGACCAAGAGUCUGAUCCAGCAAUUCUGUGUGCACGAUGAAGUUUUUCGGAAUGUAAAGUGCUUUCAGUUGGGAAGAAAAAAAUGACGGUACCAACAGAAGAAGAGACGGCUAAAUACGUG